rnacentral:lncRNA from 1 species
AUCGUACGUGUUUGAACAUACUUAUUUUAUAGCUCCCAGGUUUCUGUUUGAGCCAAUUUUGAAGGAUAUAUAUGGCCUUUCUGUGUGACUAAAUGGACUAGUUUGGAAACUGUAAACCGCAUCAUUAUCCUUUUCUGGUACAGCACCGAGGUGAUGUGGCUGAAGUUUCAAAACUAGUUCAUUCAUGAUUCACUUAAAAAAAGGUGAUGCAGAAAAGGUUCAAAAUUAUCAAAAAGAACUCUCCCCUACUCUUCACUUUGCAAAACCUGUCACACUUGGCAAUGAUACAUGCCGCAAAUGGCCUGCUCAGCCAUGCUAGCAAGCAACUGACAGAUGAAACAACACCGUGUUUGCUUUGAGCAACGACUUCUACAAAUGUUAUUCCUCUUUAUGAACUUAAUGCUAACCAAAUUCCUGCUNNNNNNNNNNNNNNNNNNNNNNNNNNNNNNNNNNNNNNNNNNNNNNNNNNNNNNNNNNNNNNNNNNNNNNNNNNNNNNNNNNNNNNNNNNNNNNNNNNNNNNNNNNNNNNNNNNNNNNNNNNNNNNNNNNNNNUCCUGCUGGUGGUCCUUCAGAUACCCAUGAUUCUCAAGGGCCUGAUGAUAAAUGCCGACCAAAGGGGAAAAGGCCGGGUGAGUGCUCAACAUUUACAAAUGUACCAUUGACGUAAAUUGACUCUGCCUUGUCAUGGAACUUAACAAACAAUUAUUCUUCAAUUUUGCGAAGGAUAUACUCUAUGAUCCAUUCAGGAAAUGGAUGGACAACUGCUACCGUGGCCUACCCCUUGGUGGCCUUGGGUAAGUUUCAGUCUUGUUUUCUUUGCAGAUUAUAAAUUAGCUAAGUUCACUGUCAAUUAGGUAUACAUAUAAGCUUUCGUGGCACCUUGAAGCUUGCCAUGGUGAUAUUAACUCGAAUUUGUUUUCAAGAGCUGAUUGAACUUUAGAUGCUGCAUGCCUGUUCUCAAAACAAAUCCUUUUCUCAGUGCAGGAAGCAUUGGGAGAAGCUACAGAGGGUACUUUCAGCAUUUUCAGAUAUUCCCAGCGUUAUAUGAAGAAAGGCCCAUCCUUGCAAACCAGUUUUCAGUAACUAUACUUAACCUCUUCCAUUCUCCAUUAAGGCAAUGCCUAGUGUCACCUUAACUGUAAAGAACUUCUAAUGAUUGCCACUAUUCACUCGUUUAGGCGUUCGUCUCGCGUCCCAACGGAAAGAGCUACUCGACGGUGUUGUCUGCGCCAACUGCUGAUGCCUUCAAGUAAGCUGUGGAUCUCAACAGGCAUAUUUCUGUCCAUUAAAAUAGACCAGAGAUAUCAUUCAUUGUGCAUACUUGCAGGGGAGUUGAUAAGGUCGGUAUUGGAUCUUGGGACUGGAAGCUUAAGGAGAAAAACUGUACUUAUCAUGCCUUGUUCCCAAGAUCUUGGACAGUUUAUGACGGUAAAUUCCUAACAUAAAUAAGGUUUUGUAUGCACUUUUAUGUUUUACCUGAUAGAUACAUGUCCAUUAACUGAAUAUUUCUAUGGUACACCAUACUAAUUGAAAUGUAGGUGAACCUGACCCUGAAAUCAAUAUCACCUGCCGUCAGAUAUCACCAAUCAUCCCUCACAACUACAAGGAGAGCAGCUUCCCUGUCGCAGUUUUUACAUUUACGGUACAUCUUCCAUUUUUGCUUAUUUGCUGCUGAGUUUUUUUAAUUUUUUAAAUAUGCCAUUUUAUUUUAUUUUAUUGCAAUUACUUAUGCUGGUGACUCUUGCAGGUGCAAAAUUCUGGGAGCACAGCUGCAGAUGUAACAUUGCUCUUCACAUGGACUGUAAGUGCAACAAGCCAACGUGGUGCCUUUUAGCACGAAGAUAAAAGCACCUUACCAGCAAGGACCUAAUAUCUAUUUGUUCAUCCUCUAGAAUUCAGUUGGUGGGAGAUCAGAGCUGACUGGAAAUCACACCAACUCCAAGAUGAUGUAAUGAACAUCAGUUCUUUUUUCCACACUUUCUGGUUCAUGCCAUGCAGCAGCAAUCUCUCUACAACCUUAAUUACUUACUGGUUCUUGCCAUUCUUUUUUAUGUUCUUACACAGAGAGCGUGAUGGUGUGCAAGGUGUUCUUCUCCGUCACAGGUGUGUUAAACAUUUCUCUUUUGCAAAACCUCGAAUGAUACAGAACUGCAAACGAAGCAGCUAACUUGGGAUGGCACCAAUGUAGGACUGCGGAUGGGCACCCGCCAGUGACGUUCGCGAUCGCGUCUCAAGAAACAGAGGAAGUCCGCGUCACAGACUGCCCUUUCUUCACGAUGGGGUCGUCAGACUCCGGCGACUUCACGGCCAAGGACAUGUGGGAGGAGAUCAAACAGCAUGGUUCCUUCAGUGAAACCCGCACCGAUAAAGAGCCAAGGGCAUCGAAGCCCGGAUCAUCCAUCGGAGCGGCGGUGGCGGCCGCGACGACGGUGCCGGCAGGGGGGACCCGUGUUGUGUCAUUUGCUCUGUCGUGGUCGUGCCCCGAGGUGAAGUUCCCAGACGGGAAAACGUAUCACAGGUGAUGUGUUUUGCUGAUUCUGCAUGGGUUAGUUGGUUUUCACUUUGAGUGAAAUUUUGAUGAAUUUCACUAAAUUUUAAUAAUUUCAGUAGACAGUAAUAUUUGCUUUUCGCUUCAGAUAUUUUGGUCAUUUCAGUUGUAGAAAAAAAACAGUAAUUUUGAUGGGUGCUGAAAUAUUUAUGAAACUAAAAUUCAAAACUACUACUCUAGCUUUUUUUUUCAAUUUACUUUAGCUGUUUUUCCUUGUAACUGACAUGGCUUUGUGGAACAGGAGGUACACCAAAUUCUGUGGCUUGGAUGGAGAUGCGGCUGCAGAGAGCUUGGCUCAUGAUGCCCUUCUUGGUAAGCUCUGGUGAUUGAUUGUUAGACAUAGGUGGUCAGAAUUCUGAUGCUCAUUUGCUAUUCCUUCUCUGAGUGUAGAACACAUGGAUUGGGAGUCCAAAAUCGAAGAGUGGCAGAGGCCUAUUCUGCAAGACAAAAGGCUGCCUGAGUGGUAAUCAGCUCGUACUCCCUUCAUUUCUUUUUAGUCGGAAUAUAAGAUUUGUCUUAAAUCAAACGUAGUAGGUUUAAUUAAGAUUACGGGAAAAAAGAUCAACAUUCACAAUAUAAAAUCGAUACCAUGAGAUGCUUUAUUGAAUUAAAUUUCAUACUGUAUAUCUCUAGUACUGUAGAUGUUGAUCAUUUUGUAUAUAAAUUUGGUCAGACUUCAUGAAGUUUGACUCAAGACAAAUCUUAUAUGGGAAAUAAAAAGAAACGAAGGGAGUAUUACUUUGCUCAACUAUCUCUUCACAGUUUUUCCCAUGACAUUACAGUCGGCAUCGUCUACACACCCAGAAUUACUUCCCAGUCUGCGGAACUUAUGUAGUUGCAGAUCAUUCCAGGGUAAACCUGUUCAUACCUCAGGCCAGGCCGGGUUUCAGGUCUGGCUUGUAAACGCCCGAUUUCCUUUUCUCAAGCCCAAGCCCGCCGCAAAGCCUGAAAUACAUCUUUUUUCAAGCCUGAGCCCGGCCCAAAACUAAUUCUGAAAGCCCGACCCGAAUGCUGUUCUUCAAUGCUCGCAUGUGUAAGCUGGGCCCGAAUGCUGUUUUUCAAUGCACGCAUGUGUAAGUCCAGCCCGAAGCCUGAAAGCCCGGAUCCAAGCACUAAAAAGAGAAGCCAAGUAUAUGGUUUGCCGAGUAUAAAAUUGCAAGGGGGAGAAAUGACUUAUAUGGGCUUACUCAUACCUGGGCAUGGGCAGCCCGGCCCGGCCGGCCCGAAAAUCCAGGGCCAGGCCGGGCCUAGUUGUCCCCAUCGGGCCGGGCUUGGGCCGAAAAGUUGAGCCCGUCGGUCACGUCGUGCCGGGCUCAUGCCUAUCAAAAAUUCAACCGCAGUCGGGCCGGGCUGGUCGCCCAGUCGGGCUUUUCCCAUCUCGGGCCGGGCUUGGGCCCAAAAAUCAAGCCCGACGGUCGGGUCGGACCGGGCUCGGGCCUGGGUUUUUAGCACCGGGCUUUUUUUUGGCCCGGCCCGGCCCGGAAAAUGCCCGUUUACUACGUAGAGUACUAGAUAAUCGAUGUCAUGUUUGUCUUCAGGUAUCCGGUCGCAUUGUUCAACGAACUCUACUAUCUGAUCGCUGGAGGCACCAUAUGGACAGGUGAAUGCUCAUCUUCGAGCACUAUCAGCAAGUAUAUGAUCCGCCGUACAGAAUUUGCAGCACGGAGCUGACAACAAAUCUCUAUCAAAUGACUCACAGAUGGACGGCCUCCAAAGAUGAGCGUCGCCUCAUCAGGGACGGGGACCGAGCCAUUCUCCCUCGACGUGUUCCGCACAGACCUGCAACUGCAAGGCACCCCAGUGGUGGACGGCGUCCUGCGCGAGAUGACAUCUGUGACGGAGGACUUGCACUCGGCGGCGGCGCUCGGCGCGACGCUGCUCGCGGACGGCGAGGAGAACGUUGGCCAGUUCCUAUACCUGGAGGCGAUGGAGUACCACAUGUGGAACACCUACGACGUGCACUUCUACGCCUCCUUCGCGCUGCUCUCCCUCUUCCCGGAGCUCGAGCUCAGCCUCCAGCGCGACUUCGCCCGCGCCGUCCUCCUCCACGACCCACGCCCCAUGCGCACCCUCAAUGGCAAGACCGUGCCGCGCAAGGUGCUCGGCUCGGUGCCGCACGACGUGGGGCUGAACGACCCGUGGUUCGAGCUCAACGCGUACAUGAUCCAUGACCCGUCGCGGUGGAAGGACCUCAACCCCAAGUUCGUGCUGCAGGUCUACCGGGGCGUCGUCGCCACGGGCAACGUCGCCUUUGCCAGGGCGGCGUGGCCGGCGGUGUACCUGGCCAUGGCGUACAUGGACCAGUUCGACCGGGACCGGGACGGCAUGAUCGAGAACGAGGGCCGCCCCGACCAGACGUACGACCUGUGGUCCGUGUCCGGAGUCAGCGCCUACACCGGCGGCAUCUGGGUUGCAGCGCUGCAGGCGGCCGCUGCCAUGGCGCGCAUCGUCGGCGACGGCGAUGCCGAGUGCUACUUCCGUGCGCGGUAUCUCAGGGCGAAGCGCGUGUACGAUGACGAGCUCUGGAACGGCACCUACUUCAACUACGACAACAGCGGCGGCAAGACGAGCUCGUCCAUCCAGGCCGACCAGCUCGCCGGACAGUGGUACGCUCACGUGUGCGGCCUAGAGCCGGUCGUGGAGGAGGAGAAGGCCCGGAGCGCGCUGGGGACGGUGCUCGACUACAACGUCAUGCGGGUGAAGGGCGGGACGGUCGGGGCGGUGAACGGGAUGCGGCCAGACGGCACCACCGACAUGUCGUCGACGCAGUCCAAGGAGAUAUGGCCCGGCACCACCUACGCCGUCGCGGCCGCCAUGAUCCACGAGGGCAUGCUGGAGGCCGCGUUCCGGACGGCCAAGGGCGCCCACGACGCUAGCUGGUCCAAAGAUGGCUUCGGGUACGCGUUCCAGACGCCGGAGGCUUGGACGGCGGAAGGAGGCUACCGCGGGCUGCACUACAUGCGGCCCCUCUCCAUCUGGGCGAUGCAGUGGGCGCUGUCGCCGCCGGAGCUCCACAAGGACCUCGGCCCGGUAGCCUCGCCAGGGGACGCCUCGGUUGGGCAGGACAAGUUCGAGAAGGUGGCGAGCAUGCUGAGGCUGGCUGAGGAAGAGCACCACAAAGGAUUCCUCCGGGCUCUCUACCAUAUUCUCCGGCAGGUGGUGCUCCCGGCAUGACAUGAUGGCGUAUUCCUCAGGAAUACAGGUUGCGUAUCUUUCCAUCGACGCGUUCGGCCACGCCUGCGGACGCAUUUAGACUGUCCCUAAUAUUUCGCUCCGUUCAUCCACGUACCUCAUAUCCGGACUCUUAAAUUCAUACAAGCCAUGUACGUCGAUCAUCCGAUACAAAUUGUUUGAAUUUAAUAGUUUUAAACAAAAGCAAAUGAUAUUAUAGUUCAACCAAACGGACAUGCAAUCAUCAUGUGUGAACUAAUGAACUAUACGAAACAUUAAUCAUUAGAUUGAACAUGAGCAAAUGUACCCGGUCUUGUUGAGACAUUUCAUCGAGCAUGUCGAGUGCAGCCCAAGCGGUGGGGUUGCCCGUGCUCAUCCGUUUCCAAACGAGCUAUGAGGACUCACACUCAUGGACCGACGGCUGCUGCAUGACCGGAAAGCUCUCUGGAAGGGUCCGUCUCCUCCUCCUUGUCCGUCUCGAUGGUGCCGGACAACAUAAUCUGCGCCGGCGCUUGCAUGGAUGGGGUUAGGGGAGCCCGACACGUUGGGGGAGACAUCUCGUCGACGACGCCCGCAUGUAAUUGUGCGGCCAACUCCCUCUGUCGCUGCCGGUGAUGGUGCAUCUUACGGGCGAUGUUCUCUGGCUUGCAAGACGAAGCGAAGGAAGGGCCGUCGACGGACGAGGUGGACUGCGUCUCCGACGCGGUGGUUAGGGACAGGGUGGAAGACAUCACAGUGGCGGAUCGGGACAUGUGGUGAGGAUGGAGAGCAAGGGUACCAGACGGCGAGGGGUCGGGCACGGGAAAUCUUGGCGGACGACGACAGGAGGAAGGGUUUAGGGGAUUUAGUGUAAUUUAAGGUAGGGUCGGGUUGUCGGGUCCGACGUGACUAGCGUGUCGAGGCGCGCCCGAGCUCCUCCUUAUCCGUCCCAUAUUUGGGCUGGAAAUGGAGGGUGCUGGUUAGCCUGUGCGUUUGAGGCCGGUUUGAAAGACCCGUUUGGGUCGAUUUUUUGUGACCGGACAGUGAACGGGCGGCCUGCCCGGGAGUUUGAGGAGGAUUUGAGGGGUCCGGUUGUAGAUGCUCUUACAUGGCCAUGUAUGCAUAGAAGUAUGGUAGUGAUAGACGGAGAAGAGUAGAGUACAACGGGGUUGCUCGGCCCCGAUGGCUAAGCUAGGUCUACGUGUCGAGUAGUAUGAUCUUAGCCCAUUGGCGCCGACCUUAGCCCAUUGGCGCGCCUCCUUGAUAAUAGAGCAAAUGCCAGUGAUGGAUGGUUGGUCCCCAUCAAAGACACAUCCAUUGUGGUGCUUCCACAUCCACCACGCUGUAAGGAUGAUGACGGAGGAUAGGCCCUUGCGACAUGAAGCAGGGGCGCAGUCGCAUCUUCCACAUCCACUACGUCGUAAGGAUGAUGAUGGAGGAUAGGCCCUUGCGACAUGAAGCAGGGGCGCGGUCGCACAAUGCCGCCCACCAGGACUAGAACUCCAUGGUAGCAUUGGGUAGGUUGGCCUUCGCUCUCACCUAACUCAUGAUUUCAUGCCUGACCUUUCGAGAGAAGGGACAACCUGCGAGUAGGUGGUGCAUGGUUUUAGGCUCUUGUUCACAUAGUAUGCAGGUGACGGUGUCGGGAGAAUGUCACGCUGAAUGAGCCGGUUCGUCGUCCAGCAUCGGUCUUGCAUGGCCAGCCACAUGAAGAUCUUCAUUUUGAGCGGCGCCCAUGGUCGCUAAGUGAGUUUCUGUCAGCGACCAGGCGGCUGACAGGCCCGUGAAGCUAGAGAAAGACUGGCCCAGAAGGGAGCCUCGCAAACUGGCUUGGCUCGCUGGGCCUGAAUGGGCUUAAGGCCCAAGCUUCUCCUAUAUGACCAGCUGGUACUCAGGUGGCGGGAAACGAAUGACUAGGACGGCGUGUGUGUCGUGAACAGAUAGCAUGUUCUUCCUCCUCUCCCUUCUCCCUCGAUGUGUAUCUCCUUCCUGUAGCUCGAGAUGGAUGUAAUGGAUGAAAUUGGAAACUAGCCCUCACAAUAUGGUAUCAGAGCCGCCGAAUCCUGGAGGUCCCUAGCCACCACCAUCGCACCCGCCUAGCACAACGGCUGCGAGCCGAGGCCAUGUAAAAAAUUUCAUCGGAGACCCGUCCGUCUUUGAGUUCCUGUGCGCGGAUUUCAACAUCGCCGUCACCAAAACCACGUCGGACCACACCGAGGCUACGGUCAUCGCUCUCGCCAAGCUGGACAACAAGCUAGAUUUGCUGUCCGGGCGCAUCGACGACGUCAAGGUCGACAUAGGCGUCGACAUCGACGAACUUCGCAGCAAAAUUGGUGCCAACCGAAUCACUCAUGUAGCACCAUCAUCCGCGCCGGUGUCGCUAUGAGAGCCACCACCGAACUCUUAACCACCCUCCAGCAACAGCGGAGCAAGCGGGUAUGGCGGAUUCCGACCAGAUCUGGAGGAGCGGAACAUGGGCUCUCGGUACGUGCCUCCUCCAGCUCGAGGUAUGCCCCUGAGAUGAAUCAAUCACGUCAGAUGGUGGAAGCCGCUGAAAGUUUUCGGCCAUUCCUACUGGACUCUCUGAAUUUUGGACCCCGGAUGGAGUUGCCCCGUUUUGAUGGUUCCGACCCGAAGCUGUGGCAGUCACGCUGUGAGGAUUACUUCAAGCUGUGGAACGUUCUGCAACAACAGUGGAUCUCCUUUGUCUCUGCCCAAUUUGAAGGAUCAAUAGCAAGGUGGCUCGAAUAUGUUCAACGCCGUGCACCCCAUGUCAAUUGGUCUGAAUUCUGCUCAAUGUUGCAAUCUUGUUUUGACCGCAACAAGCAUCAAAACUUAGUUCAUCAUAUGUUUCACAUCCGCCAAACUAGCUCUAUUGAGGACUAUGUUCAGCGUUUUUCAGAGUUGUAUGAUGAGUUAACUGCUUAUGAGACUAAUCAUAGAUCUAUUCAUUAUGUUACAAGGUUCUUGGAGGGUCUCAUACCAGCUAUACGUUUGUUGAUGGGAAUUCAACAACCCUCUGAUCUCGAUUCAGCAUAUGCUUUGGCCUUGUUGUUAAAAGAAUUGGGUGAUACAUCGAUGGUGUCCCAGAUGUCACCAAGUUACAAGUCUUCAGUUUCUUUAGCAGUGACUCGCCAGAGUGGAACCAAUUCUGCUAUCAAAGCUACCGAUGGAAAAAGGAGUGUUGGCAGUACCCGAAAACUCUGUGCUACAGAGGAUAGAGGAGCUUCUCUGCGAGCAUACAUGAAAUCCAAGGGGCUUUGUUUUAUUUGUGGUGAAUGUUGGGCUCGGGAACACAAAUGCAAGCACGAAAUUUCAUUUUAUACCGGAGAACAUAGUGAUAGUGAAGAAACUUCACAAACCGAACUCAACUGUGUUUCUAUUUCAGCAACUGCUAUGAGGGACUUAUCUGCACCAGCCUCAUCCACAAUGAAGUUGAAGAUUAUGUUGCAAGGCUUAUAUCUGGUGUUUCUGGUGGACUCUGGCAGUACUCAUUCAUUUGUUGAUGGAUCUAUGGCUACAAAACUGCAAGGAAUCUCUUCUAUGCCAGUGAGUAUUGUUAAGGUUGCCAAUGUCCAGUUGAUUGCCUAUGAUAAACAAUUGCUGAAUGGACAAUGGUCUUGUGAUAACCAUAAUUUUGUGAGUACUUUUAGAGUUUUGUCGUUUGGUUCUUAUGAUGGUAUCCUUGGUCUAGAUUGGCUGGCUUCUCACAGUCCUAUGCAAGUAGAUUGGGCAGCACAUUGGCUAAGUUUCCAGCUGAGAUACGACCAUGUAACUUUGUUGGGUCAAGAUGCAUUCCCUCAACUCAUUGCUCUCAUUGAGAUGUGAGCUUUGCUUGUGACUAUUGACAGUACACAAUCUGAAAUACCCAAGGAAAUCCAAGCUAUUCUUGAUCAAUUUGCCACUGUUUUCGAAAAGCCUACCGGUUUGCCUCCGAGAAGAAAAUUUGAUCAUACCAUUCCAUUGAUUCCUGGAGCUCAACCAGUUCAUACUAGACCAUAGAGACUGCCCCCUGCUCUCAAAGAUGAGGUAGAAAAACAGGUACAAGAAAUGCUUGCAACUGGCAUCAUCAGACAUAGUAAUAGUGCAUUCUCUUCACCUAUGAUCAUGGUUCAGAAGAAAGAUAUAACUUGGAGACCUGUAUAUGAUUACAGAAAAUUGAAUGCCAUAACUAUCAAGAGAAAAUAUCCUAUACCAUUAAUUAAUGAAUUGUUAGAUGAAUUAGCAGGUGCUAGCUGGUUUUCCAAGUUGGAUCUGAGAGGUGGCUACCAUCAAAUCAGACUGGCACCAGGAGAAGAACAUAAGACUGCUUUCCAGACUCACUUGGGCCAUUUUGAGUUUUUGGUCGUGUCUUUUGGUUUAACUGGGGGGCCUAAUACAUUCAAUUUUUCUAUGAAUGAUACCUUGUCUCCCUGUCUUAGAGAAUUUUCUUUGGUUUUGUUUGAUGACAUAUUAAUCUUCAAUGCUUCUUAUGAGCUGCAUCUGCAACAUUUGGCUGAGGUUUUGAAGCUUCUGUUGCAACACCAAUGGAAAGUCAAACUCUCUAAGUGUGCUUUUGUAGAAACUCAGAUUGGGUAUUUGGGACAUAUAAUUAGUGGGCAUGCAGGGUGUUGCCACUGACCCAACUAAAAUAUCAGCCAUUCAAGAUUCGCCAAUUCCCAUAUCUGCCAUGGAAGUCAGGGGAUUCUUAGGCCUUGCUGGUUACUACAGAAAAUUUAUAUCCCAAUAUGGUAUGUUAAGCAAGCCAGUGACAAACUUGUUGAAAAAGGGUGUUCCAUUUAUCUGGUCUUCCGAUGAACAACAAGCAUUGCCUUGAUGUCAGCCCCUGUUCUGGCCCUACCAGAUUUCUCCAAAACAUUUGUUGUUGAACCUGAUGCUUGUGAUGUGGGCAUAGGUGCAGUACUUAUGCAAUAGGGUCACCCUAUUGCUUAUGCUAGUAAAGCUCUAAGCCCACGAAAUACAACACUAUCAGUAUAUGAGAAUGAGUACUUAGCUAUUCUUUUGGCAGUGGAACACUCGAGACAAUAUUUGCAACUUGCAACUUUUUUUUAUCAAAACCGACCAGCGUAGUUUAGCUUGUCUAUCUAAACAGAGACUGCACACUAGAUGGUAGCACAAAGCAUUAACAAAGCUACUGGGGUUCCAGUAUACUAUUCAGUAGUAGAUCCCUGUGGAGGAAACCACUUCCAGUUCAGGAUACCCUACCAGAAGUGCAUCGUCAUCUCAACCUGCUUGGCUUAAUGAUAUACAUCAGAGUUACAUUACUGAUCCUGUUGCUAUUGACUUGAGGCAAAAACUGACUUUGAACCCUACAACUGAUGCAAAACUUCCUCUCAAGGCUGGUAUUCUGAGGAUAGGCAAAUGAGUUUGGGUUGGGAGUGACUCACAAGUGCAUAACAAAAUUGUGGCGGCAUUCCAUGACAACCCUUUGGGUGGUCAUUCAGGAUUCCUUGUGAGUUACAUGUGUAUCAGGCAGUUAUUUAGGUGGAAAGGCAUGAAAGGGUUCAUCAAAACUUAUGUGCAACACUGCCUAACAUGCCAACAAGAAAAACCAUAAAGAAUACCUUAUCCUGGUCUGUUACAACCCUUACUUAUACCUAAUCUUCCUUGGGAAAUGGUCACUAUUGAUUUUGUGGAAGGCCUAACAAUGUCUGGUACAUUCAACUGAUUGUUUGUGGUUAUUGAUAAGCUAUCCAAGUAUGGGCAUUUCAUUCCAAUCCACCAUCCUUUUAUGGCUGAGGUUGUUGCUGAAGAUUUCCUGAACACUGUCUACAAAUUAUAUGGUAUGCCGCAAUCUAUUGUGUCUGAUCGAGAUAAGAUCUUCACCAGCAAGUUUUGGAGUGAGCUUUUUCAAAAAACUGGUGUUCUUCUUCACAUGAGCUCUGCCAUGCAUCCUUAGUCCGAUGGUCAAACUGAGCGACUCAAUCAACAGGUGGAGUGCUUCCUUCGUUGUUUUGUCAGUGGGCAUCCAUCUCGUUGGAAAAAAUGGAUUCCAUUGUGUGAGUUUUGUUAUAAUACCAAUUGGCAUUCAACUACUCGAAAAACACCGUUUGAGAUAGUGUAUGGCCACAUUCGACGCCACUUUGGAUUUUCACCUGAUGACAUGAUUCAGUCACCAGACUUGCAGUAGUGGCUGGCGGAUCGAGCAGUGGUGCUGGAGUUAGUUAAAGAACAUUUGUUGCAUGCUCAACAACGAAUGAAGCACCAAGCUUAUAAGCAUCGCACAGACCGGUCAUUUGUUGUUGGAGAUGUUGGGGAACGUUGCAUGGGAAACAAAAAUUUUCCUACGCACACGAAGACCUAUCAUGAUGAUGAUCAUCUACGAGAGGGAGAUGGGAUCCACAUACCCUUGUAGAUCGCUAAGCGGAAGCGUUAAUAAACACGGUUGAUGUAGCAGUACGUCUUCAUGAUCCGUCCCAAUAACCGUCCCACGAUCCAUCCCACGAACCGUCUCACGAUCUGUCCCGAUCAAGUGCCGAACGGACGGCACCUCCACGUUCCGCACACGUACAACUUGAUGACGAUCUCCGCCUUCUUGAUCCGGCAAGAGAUACGGGGAAGUAGAUGAGUUCUCCGGCAGUGUGACGACGCGCCGGUGAUGGUGAUGAUCUAUUCCUACAGGGCUCUGCUACUCCGACAAUAGACCUUCCCAGGUACGACGCCAGGAAUCCUGCUGCUACGGCUACGCCUUUAGGAACUUCCUUGGCAAAUAUGCAAAGGAUUUCCCCGUGGCCUUGGAGCCUUGCGUUGGUGUUCCCUUGAAGAGGAAAGGGUGAUGUAGCACAGCGGCGGUAAGUAUUUCCCUGAGUUUUGAGAACCAAGGUAUUGAACCAAUGGAAGAUCUCAUCAAGACACAAGUACCUGCACAAACACAAAGAGCUUGCACCCAACGCUAUGAAGGGGUUGCCAAUCCCUUGUAGAUUGUUUGCAAAGUGAGAAUUGAAAGCAAAAAGUAAACAAGCAAAGUAAAAGUGAAAGUGGAAACGAUAGUUGUGAAUAGGCCCGGGGGCCGUAGAAUUCACUAGUGGCUUCUCUCAUGAAAGCAAGUAGACGGUGGGUGAACGAAUUACUGUCGAGCAAUUGAUAGAACCGCGCAAAGUCGUGACGUUAUCUAAGGCAAUGAUUAUAUCUAUAGGCAUCACGUCCAAAACAAGUAGACCGAUACUUUCUGCAUCUACUACUAUUACUCCACACGUCGACCGCUAUCCAGCAUGCAUCUAGUGUAUUAAGUCCAAAAGAACAGAGUAACGCCUUAAGCAAGAUGACAUGAUGUAGAUGGACAAUCUCAUAUCUACGAUAAAAUCCCAUCUUGUUACCCUUGAUGGCAACAACACGAUGCGUGCCUUGCUGCCAAUUCUGUCACUGGGAAAGGUCACCACACGGUAUGAACCCAAAACCAAGCACUUCUCCCAUUGCAAGAAUCAUAGAUCUAGUUGGCCAAACAAAACCCAAGACUCGGAGAGACUUACAAGGAUAUCAAAU